rnacentral:rRNA from 1 species
UCUGGUGGAAAUAACGAGAAGGACACACCCGUUCCCAUCCCGAACACGGAAGUUAAGCUUCUCAGUGCCGACGAUACUUGGCUGGCGACGGCCCGGGAAAAUAGGUCUCCGCCAGGA